rnacentral:rRNA from 1 species
CUCACCUACGGGACGCAGCAGUGGGGAAUAUUGCACAAUGGGGGAAACCCUGAUGCAGCGACGCCGCGUGAGUGAGGAAGUAUUUCGGUAUGUAAAGCUCUAUCAGCAGGGAAGAAAAUGACGGUACCUGACUAAGAAGCCCCGGCUAACUACGUGCCAGCAGCCGCGGUAAUACGUAGGGGGCGUGCGUUAUCCGGAUUUACUGGGUGUAAAGUGAGCGUAGACGGCGUCGCACGUCUG